UACGGAGGGUGCAAGCGUUACCCGGAAUCACUGGGCGUAAGGCGCGCGCAGGCGGCCCCGCAGGUCGGUUGUGAAAGCCCCCGGCUCAACCGGGUGGAGGCGAGCGAAACCGCGGGGCUGGAGGCUGGCAGAGGGUGGUGGAAUUCCCGGUGUAGUGGUGAAAUGCGUAGAGAUCGGGAGGAACACCCGCGGCGAAGGCGGCCACCUGGACCAGACCUGACGCUGAGGCGCGAAGGCCGGGGGAGCGAACGGG
rnacentral:rRNA from 1 species